rnacentral:rRNA from 1 species
GACGAACGCUGGCGGCGUGCUUAACACAUGCCAGUCGAACGAUGACGACCGAGCUUGCUCGGUCUGAUUAGUGGCGAACGGGUGAGUAACACGUGAGCAACCUGCCCUUCACUCUGGGAUAACCUCGGGAAAUCGGGGCUAAUACCGGAUAUGAGCUCCUGUCGCAUGGCGGGUGUUGGAAAGUUUUUCGGUGAAGGAUGGGCUCGCGGCCUAUCAGUUUGUUGGUGAGGUAGUGGCUCACCAAGGCGAUGACGGGUAGCCGGCCUGAGAGGGCGACCGGCCACACUGGGACUGAGACACGGCCCAGACUCCUACGGGAGGCAGCAGUGGGGAAUAUUGCACAAUGGGCGAAAGCCUGAUGCAGCGACGCCGCGUGAGGGAUGACGGCCUUCGGGUUGUAAACCUCUUUCAGCAGGGAAGAAGCGAAAGUGACGGUACCUGCAGAAGAAGCGCCGGCUAACUACGUG